AGUGAACGCUGGCGGUAGGCCUAACACAUGCAAGUCGAACGGCAGCACAGUAAGAACUUGCUCUUACGGGUGGCGAGUGGCGGACGGUUGAGGUAUACAUCGGAAUCUACUUUGUCGUGGGUGAUAACGUAGGGCAACUUGCGCUAAUACCGCAUAUGACCUACGGGUGAAAGCAGGGGUUCUUCGAACCUUGCGCGAUUGUAUGAGCCGAGGUCGGAUUAGCUAGUUGGCGGGGUAAAGGCCCACCAAGGCGACGAUCCGUAGCUGGUAUGAGAGGAUGAUCAGGCACACUGGAACUGAGACACGGUCCAGACUCCUACGGGAGGCAGCAGUGGGGAAUAUUGGACAAUGGGCGCAAGCCUGAUCCAGCCAUACCGCGUGGGUGAAGAAGGCCUUCGGGUUGUAAAGCCCUUUUGUUGGGAGAGAAAAGCAGCAGGUUAAUACCCCGCUGUUCUGACGGUACCCAAAGAAUAAGCACCGGCUAACUUCGUG
rnacentral:rRNA from 1 species